ACUUCUUGUUCUGAAUUCCUAUAUUUUCUGAUAAUCGGACCUGGUACCUCUUGUUUUCUAAGAUCUCUUUCUGAUUUCUAAAUUCGGAUUACUUGUUCUAACUCACCUUGGUAGUUCGCACUGACUUUUCAUCUAGCGGGGAAGGAUAGGGGUUUCUUGGGCUUGUCACUUGACAAUGACUGGGAUAUAUGACUUGUUAUGGGGGUUGACUGGGAUAUAUGACUUGUUAUGGGGGUUCUUUUUAUGUGUCACAUUAUAAUC
rnacentral:lncRNA from 1 species